rnacentral:rRNA from 1 species
UACGGGGGGAGCAAGCGUUGUUCGGAUUUACUGGGCGUAAAGGGCGCGUAGGCGGUCAGCACAAGUCAGUUGUGAAAUCUCCGGGCUUAACUCGGAAAGGUCAACUGAUACUGUGCGACUAGAGUGCAGAAGGGGCAACUGGAAUUCUCGGUGUAGCGGUGAAAUGCGUAGAUAUUGGGAGGAACACCAGUGGCGAAGGCGGCUCACUGGACCGGAACUGACGCUGAGGCGCGAAAGCGUGGGGAGCAAACGGG